rnacentral:rRNA from 1 species
UUGAACGCUGGCGGCAUGCCUUACACAUGCAAGUCGAACGGCAGCACGGGUGCUUGCACCUGGUGGCGAGUGGCGAACGGGUGAGUAAUACAUCGGAACAUGUCCUGUAGUGGGGGAUAGCCCGGCGAAAGCCGGAUUAAUACCGCAUACGAUCUACGGAUGAAAGCGGGGGACCUUCGGGCCUAGCGCUAUAGGGUUGGCCGAUGGCUGAUUAGCUAGUUGGUGGGGUAAAGGCCUACCAAGGCGACGAUCAGUAGCUGGUCUGAGAGGACGACCAGCCACACUGGGACUGAGACACGGCCCAGACUCCUACGGGAGGCAGCAGUGGGGAAUUUUGGACAAUGGGCGAAAGCCUGAUCCAGCAAUGCCGCGUGUGUGAAGAAGGCCUUCGGGUUGUAAAGCACUUUUGUCCGGAAAGAAAUCCUUGGCCCUAAUACGGUCGGGGGAUGACGGUACCGGAAGAAUAAGCACCGGCUAACUACGUG